rnacentral:sRNA from 1 species
AUUCAGGCAAUGAAUUACUUUUGCAAGCCAUCGCAUUCUCUUAUGUUAUUAAUGAGUUAUGCUGAUUUGUUAAGCAGUUUUAUCAGGCUUGAAAUGGCGUCCAGCCCCGACAGGUGAAUCGUCGGGGCUGAUUUUUU